UACGUAGGGUGCGAGCGUUGUCCGGAAUUAUUGGGCGUAAAGAGCUCGUAGGCGGUUUGUUGCGUCUAUCGUGAAAACCUGCAGCUUAACUGUGGGCUUGCGGUGGAUACGGGCAGACUUGAGUUCGGUAGGGGAGACUGGAAUUCCUGGUGUAGCGGUGAAAUGCGCAGAUAUCAGGAGGAACACCGGUGGCGAAGGCGGCAUCCUGGACCGGCAUUGACGCUGAUGAGCGAAAGCUAGGGGAGCAAACGGG
rnacentral:rRNA from 1 species